ACGAAGGGUAAAUAAUCAAUUCAAAUAAUAUUUCAAUUCUUUUAAAUAAAAACGUAUCGUCCGUCUAAAGUGAGAAAAGUUGUGCUAAUUCGAGAAAUCAGCAACAAAAGUAAAUCGGUUCGAUUCGAUAGUGACUACAUACGGGAUUCACUAGCUGAUGUGCCUGCUCACAAAAGUUCCCCAUUGAAAUUCAAAAACUUUGACCGUCAACGAGUAAUCCGCUACCAAUAGAGUAAAUCGUCGAAUCGUGAAAUGCGACAUGAAUAUAAGUUGUCCCUGCACUGCGAUGAACAUCACCCGACCCUUCUCUAAUUGAGGAAAUCUUCCUGUCACAACACGAUCCACAAAAGAAAACACAAGUAGAAUACCAGUUUGCAUCGAAAGCAAUGGUGCGUCUCCUUCAUUUGAGCUCGGGUUGAAG